rnacentral:rRNA from 1 species
AACGAACGCUGGCGGCAGGCUUAACACAUGCAAGUCGAACGGGUGUAGCAAUACAUCAGUGGCAGACGGGUGAGUAACACGUGGGAACCUUCCUAGGGGUACGGAACAACUCAGGGAAACUUGAGCUAAUACCGUAUACGUCCGUGAGGAGAAAGAUUUAUCGCCCUUAGACGGGCCCGCGUCGGAUUAGGUAGUUGGUGGGGUAACGGCCUACCAAGCCUACGAUCCGUAGCUGAUCUUAGAGGAUGAUCAGCCACACUGGGACUGAGACACGGCCCAGACUCCUACGGGAGGCAGCAGUGGGGAAUCUUGGACAAUGGGCGCAAGCCUGAUCCAGCCAUGCCGCGUGAGUGAAGAAGGCCUUAGGGUUGUAAAGCUCUUUUACCAGGGACGAUAAUGACGGUAC